GAGCGAAAGGGAAUCUGGUUNCUAUUNNAGAACUGGGUUGCGGAACCGUAUUCCUCGGGCCCCCUAAAAGGCUCGUCAGGGUAACCUAAGAGGACCCGGAGACGCCGCCGGGAGCUCUGGGAAGAGUUUUCUUUUCUGUAUGAGCGUUCAUGCUCCCUGGAAUCAUCUCGCAUGGAGAUAGGGAGAAGUCCGCGAAGAGCACCGCAGUUGCAGCGGUGUCCAGAGAUUCCCGACGGACCUUGAAAAUCCGGGAGAGGG
rnacentral:rRNA from 1 species